rnacentral:rRNA from 1 species
AGGUGAUGGACAACAGGUUGAUAUUCCUGUACUACCGAUAACCGUUUGAGAGAAGGGAUGACACAGUAGGAUAAGCUAAGCACACUGUUGGUUAUGUGUGCCCAAGCAUUGAGGCAGUCAAAGUAGGCAAAUCCGCUUUGAUAAUGCUGGGAUGUGAUGGGGAGCGAAAUUUAGUAGCGAAGUAGCUGAUUUCACACUGUCAAGAAAAGUCUCUAUCGAGGUUAAAGGUACCCGUACCGCAAACCGACACAGGUGGGUGAGGAGAGUAUCCUAAGGCCAGCGAGAGAACUGUUGUUAAGGAACUCGGCAAAAUGACCCCGUAACUUAGGGAUAAGGGGUGCCACCAUCAGGUGGCCGCAGAGAAUAGGCCCAAGCGACUGUUUACCAAAAACAUAGGUUUCUGCUAAGUCGCAAGACGAUGUAUAGGAGCUGACGCCUGCCCGGUGCUGGAAGGUUAAGGGGAUCUGUUAGAG